GCGCUGCCAUGUGCGUGCCGGGUGGACACUUGUCACAGAUUAAGGAUUCCCCGGUGAACGGGUCUCGGUACUCAUAGGUGGGAACGGAUUCCACCGCUAACACACCGCGGAGGACACCAGAGAGCAGGAACAGCACCGUCGCAGCAGCUGGAGGACCUGCUGCUGGGGAGAGCAGGCCUUCUUCAGUUUCUCCAGGCUCUUACGAUCCACCCUCCGCCCGGGAAGACUCUCCAACAGCCGCUCCAGGGGCACUGAGGACAGUCGCAGCGAGGAGAGUGACUGAAAGACCGCCUCCUCACACAGGUUCACAUCUGGAUUAAAUUGUAAGAGAAAGACAGACAGGUGGACAGGAAAUGCAAGAAUUUGGAAAAGAAUGGAAUCUGGACAACGAACCUGACCGAGGAAAUCCCCUGCCUUCAGGAAUGAAAAUGACCACAUUCAGUUCUGACUGAUUUUAAGUUGUUGACAAUUGAGGUUUGCUCAAAAUCAUCAUCACGUGUAUGUAUGUUGUGUAUACACUGUACAAACAAUCUCUACCCUGAUUCCACCAUUCCAUUGCAUUAGUCCCAAAACCUCCCAUACAAUUUCUAUUAGUGAUUAAACCCUACUGCAGAGUUGUAAAGCGUGUAUGUCUUACCAGUGUG